UAUGGAACUAUAGUGGAAUAUUGCACAAGUUUAGAGCUUGUUUCUGUGUUAUUUGCUUCCAGAAAAAUCAAUUUGCAAAUAAUAUGGAAAUGAGCACUAAACUUGUGCUGUAUUCCACCAGAGUUCCAGA